rnacentral:rRNA from 1 species
UUGAACGCUGGCGGCAUGCCUAACACAUGCAAGUCGAACGGUAACGCGGAGAGCUUGCUCUCUGGCGACGAGUGGCGGACGGGUGAGUAAUACUUAGGAAUCUGCCCAGUAGUGGGGGACAACAUUCGGAAACGGAUGCUAAUACCGCAUACGCACUACGGUGGAAAGUGGGGGACCUUCGGGCCUCACGCUAUUGGAUGAGCCUAAGUCGGAUUAGCUUGUUGGUGAGGUAAUAGCUCACCAAGGCGACGAUCCGUAGCUGGUCUGAGAGGACGAUCAGCCACACUGGGACUGAGACACGGCCCAGACUCCUACGGGAGGCAGCAGUGGGGAAUAUUGGACAAUGGGCGCAAGCCUGAUCCAGCAAUGCCGCGUGUGUGAAGAAGGCCUGCGGGUUGUAAAGCACUUUCAGUAGAGAAGAAAAGCCUAGGGUUAAUACCCCUGAGUCUUGACGUAACCUACAGAAGAAGCACCGGCUAACUCCGUG